rfam:Clostridiales bacterium KLE1615 genomic scaffold Scaffold301, whole genome shotgun sequence.
GGCCCGGUGGCUCAGUUGGUUAGAGCGCCGCCCUGUCACGGCGGAGGUCAAGGGUUCGAACCCCUUUCGGGUCG